rnacentral:sRNA from 1 species
AGCUGAUGAAGCUGAUGAAGCUGAUGAAGCUGAUGAAGCUGAUGAAGCUGAUGAAGCAGAUGAAGCAGAUGACAAUGACUUCGACUUUAAGGAGAACUUCAAGGUGGACAAGGUGGACGAGACUGAAGAUUUAGAUCUUCACAGUAACUAAAUCAAGAAACUUUUCUCAAUGUAACACAUAAAUACACUUUUGGACCAAACAAAGACAGAGGUGUGUCCAGUGCUGUGCUGUUUCCUACAUAUAUGCAUAAAUAUAAUACAAAUUAUAA